UACAGAGAGGGCAAGCGUUGUCCGGAAUGACUGGGCGUAAAGCGCGCGCAGGCGGUUUCUUAAGUUGGAUGUGAAAUCCCCGGGCGUUAACCUGGAACUGCAUUCGAUACUGGGGAACGUAGAGGCCGAGAGAGGAAAGCGGAAUGACGAGUGUAGAGGUGAAAUUCGUAGAUAUUCGUCGGAACACCAGAGGCGAAGGCGGC
rnacentral:rRNA from 1 species